rnacentral:rRNA from 1 species
UACGUAGGUGGCAAGCGUUGUCCGGAUUUACUGGGCGUAAAGAGCGCGCAGGCGGUCGUUCAAGUCGCGUGUGAAAGCCCCCGGCUCAACUGGGGAGAGUCACGCGAUACUGAUCGACUCGAAGGCAGGAGAGGGUAGUGGAAUUCCCGGUGUAGUGGUGAAAUGCGUAGAUAUCGGGAGGAACACCAGUGGCGAAGGCGACUACCUGGCCUGUUUCUUGACGCUGAGGCGCGAAAGCUAGGGGAGCAAACAGGG